rnacentral:lncRNA from 1 species
AUGUUUUUGGGGAAAGACAGCUUCAAGCCGUCAAUCCCCUAUGGGGUUGACCAGAGUGACACUCCCUCACAUCAUUCAUUUUGUUUUUAUACAUGUUAUAGUGUGGGAAAACCCCCAACAAAUCUUACUUAGAUUGAAGAGAAGGAGACCCAGAAAUGAAUAGUUUGACUUUAAACACUUUUUUACACAUUUCCCUUCUGUUUCUCACGAAAUUAUCGUAUCUUGAACUCUCCUUUACACUAUUUACGUUUAUUUUACAAUCCGGAAAAAUUAGUAUGACGAGAUAUUCUAAAUAUAUCCAACCUACAUUGUAUUUUAUAGUGACGUCAUUCUUGGAAGAAGCAGGGAUAUCCUUCACCAGUUCACUGGUUAUUUAAAUCAUUCUUAGAGAUCGUGCACUAAUCACAAAUUUGUAUUUGUUAAAUCUAAACAUAAUAUUGUUUACUGUAGAUGAUUUAAACAUCAACAUGCAAUACUUUAAUUUGUAGGUCAACAACUUUCAAAAUAAACAAAGAUCGUGGGGUUACAUGAGACAGGGGAAAGAAACGAUUUUAUUACUUUUUUCGGGUCUCACUAAUUAGAGACAAGAAGCGUCAAAAAGCGACAAGAAGCGUCAAGAAGACUAUUUAGCGACAAGAAAAACAUAUUCUUCUUGUCGCUUCUUGUCGCUAAAAUUCUUUUUGUUGCUAAUUAGUGAGACCACUUUUUUCUGUAAAAAUUCUGAGAAUCUUCCUCCAAUUCAGGAGCACCUCAAUUGAUGAGUAAUUAUCCAC